rnacentral:rRNA from 1 species
GAUGAACGCUGGCUGCGUGCCUAAUACAUGCAAGUCGAGCGAACGGACGAGAAGCUUGCUUCUCUGAUGUUAGCGGCGGACGGGUGAGUAACGCGUGGAUAACCUACCUAUAAGACUGGGAUAACUUCGGGAAACCGGAGCUAAUACCGGAUAAUAUUUUGAACCGCAUGGUUCAAAAGUGAAAGACGGUCUUGCUGUCACUUAUAGAUGGAUCCGCGCUGCAUUAGCUAGUUGGUAAGGUAACGGCUUACCAAGGCAACGAUGCAUAGCCGACCUGAGAGGGUGAUCGGCCACACUGGAACUGAGACACGGUCCAGACUCCUACGGGAGGCAGCAGUAGGGAAUCUUCCGCAAUGGGCGAAAGCCUGACGGAGCAACGCCGCGUGAGUGAUGAAGGUCUUCGGAUCGUAAAACUCUGUUAUUAGGGAAGAACAUAUGUGUAAGUAACUGUGCACAUCUUGACGGUACCUAAUCAGAAAGCCACGGCUAACUACGUGCCAGCAGCCGCGGUAAUACGUAGGUGGCAAGCGUUAUCCGGAAUUAUUGGGCGUAAAGCGCGCGUAGGCGGUUUUUUAAGUCUGAUGUGAAAGCCCACGGCUCAACCGUGGAGGGUCAUUGGAAACUGGAAAACUUGAGUGCAGAAGAGGAAAGUGGAAUUCCAUGUGUAGCGGUGAAAUGCGCAGAGAUAUGGAGGAACACCAGUGGCGAAGGCGACUUUCUGGUCUGUAACUGACGCUGAUGUGCGAAAGCGUGGGGAUCAAACAGGAUUAGAUACCCUGGUAGUCCACGCCGUAAACGAUGAGUGCUAAGUGUUAGGGGGUUUCCGCCCCUUAGUGCUGCAGCUAACGCAUUAAGCACUCCGCCUGGGGAGUACGACCGCAAGGUUGAAACUCAAAGGAAUUGACGGGGACCCGCACAAGCGGUGGAGCAUGUGGUUUAAUUCGAAGCAACGCGAAGAACCUUACCAAAUCUUGACAUCCUUUGACAACUCUAGAGAUAGAGCCUUCCCCUUCGGGGGGGCAAAGUGACAGGUGGUGCAUGGUUGUCGUCAGCUCGUGUCGUGAGAUGUUGGGUUAAGUCCCGCAACGAGCGCAACCCUUAAGCUUAGUUGCCAUCAUUAAGUUGGGCACUCUAAGUUGACUGCCGGUGACAAACCGGAGGAAGGUGGGGAUGACGUCAAAUCAUCAUGCCCCUUAUGAUUUGGGCUACACACGUGCUACAAUGGACAAUACAAAGGGCAGCGAAACCGCGAGGUCAAGCAAAUCCCAUAAAGUUGUUCUCAGUUCGGAUUGUAGUCUGCAACUCGACUACAUGAAGCUGGAAUCGCUAGUAACCGUAGAUCAGCAUGCUACGGUGAAUACGUUCCCGGGUCU